rnacentral:piRNA from 2 species
UUUCAGCCAAAGUGGCCAAAGAACUCGUGUC